CCUCCAGGGCAUCUUCCUGACACAGGGAUCGAACCUGUCUCCUGUAUUGGCAGUUUCAGUGGAAAGUUAAAAUGAUCUCAGCAAAGACAACUCUCCUGACAUCCUGAGCCCUUGCAUGACAGUGUGUCUACCCUACCCUGCAUUAGUGUCCGGAGAAGUGCUGACAUCAUUUACAAAAGGAACAUCUGUGGAAAUCAACUUUUGGCCUGAUAUGAACAUUUUUAGAACUGCUUCUUAGGUUCUGUUAUUCCUGGUUUUUAUGUAUGCAUGAAACUAAUCAGAAGAAUUAUAUUAAUUUAUUCAUGAUUGGUAAGCAGUAGAGAUCAAACUGAAUCUCACAAUUGUAAAGUUAAAAAGAACACUAUGCACUAAUGUAAGAAAAAAAUGUGCAUAGGAAAAUAACUUAAUAAUUUUAAAGCAAAAUAUAAAAUUUAGGAAUAAAAUUUAUCAAUAGAAUGACUUUCUCAUAAUUUCCAUUUUCCUCUCACAUUAUCUAAUCAUAUUAGGAUAACUUUCUUUGUAACAAAGCAAUUUGUAAUAGAAACUAAUC